UUGACAGCACUGGAAACUGAAGUCCUCUGUUUGUUCAGGGAAUAGCUACAAGCGCAGGCAGUGCUGCAAGCUGUCCCAGCUCUGCUCAGCCAGCACACUCCAACCUUCCCUGGAAAAAAAAUACUCUUAGUUGUAUGACUCUUUUUUUUCCUUACCUAGAUCAUUCAGGUCUUGA
rnacentral:sRNA from 7 species